rnacentral:rRNA from 1 species
AGAGCGAACGCUGGCGGCAGGCUUAACACAUGCAAGUCGAGCGGGCGUAGCAAUACGUCAGCGGCAGACGGGUGAGUAACGCGUGGGAACAUACCCUCCGGUUCGGAAUAGCUCAGGGAAACUUGGAUUAAUACCGGAUACGGCUGAGAGGCGAAAGAUUUAUCGCCGGAGGAUUGGCCCGCGUUCGAUUAGCUUGUUGGUGAGGUAACGGCUCACCAAGGCGAUGAUCGAUAGCUGGUCUGAGAGGAUGAUCAGCCACAUUGGGACUGAGACACGGCCCAAACUCCUACGGGAGGCAGCAGUGGGGAAUAUUGGACAAUGGGCGCAAGCCUGAUCCAGCCAUGCCGCGUGAGUGAUGACGGCCUUAGGGUUGUAAAGCUCUUUCGCUCGGGACGAUAAUGACGGUACCGAGAUAAGAAGCCCCGGCUAACUUCGUGCCAGCAGCCGC